UUAUAGACGUCUGCUUCUGGCCAAUGUGAAGAUAGGAUAAUUGGCUAUGACAGACCCUGAAUGCAUGAAGCUUUUAAAUGUUCAUAUCACCUAAAGAGAGGAGUCAUUGCACAAAGACCCAUAAGUGUGCUGAGGCUUUACUUUGAGUUUUCCCUGUGAUUAAUCCUUUGUUCCCAGAAUAAUCUUCAGGAUCUCUCUGUAAAAUAGCAUACCUUAAAUUCUGAGAUUUUACUGACAUAUUUUCUCCAGAGUGUGUGGCAAAAAUUGGAAUGAUUUGGCUCUGUGGAGGGAUCACAUCCCAGGCUAUAGUAGAUUAUCAACAAAUUGUAAGAAGGACCCUUAAGAGGAUAGCAUAUCAUGACUCUUCCAAAGCAGUCUCCGGGCACACAAAUGGAUUGCAAGCGUAAGGGCUCUGGAAUGGAAUGGAACAUGGGUCAGACCAGAUGGGAAAACACAGGUCCUUCCAAGCAAAAAGUUUGUAGAAGGUGGUCCCAAGGUAUGGUACUUUGAUAAACAACAGCCUAUGCAGACUUGGACUCCACCACAUGCUUGUAUGAAAAUGUGGGAUCUUCAUAUAAAUCUACUUGCCUUUAAGACCACACUUCUUGACUGAUGAAGCAUUACAGAACAGUGUGGGAAUCACAAGAGGCCACGCCCCUGUAAUCUACACAGUGCAUGAAGAAGAGCAAGUUCUUAGUUUAUGGAAGCUGACUGACAAAUAUAACUUCAAAAAACUGAACCAGUCAUCUGUGCAGGAGAAAGUAGCCAUGGCCACCAGAAAUCUUACAGAUUUGGAGAUGUCUGGGAUUGUCUCAAAAGGAUGGCUGCUGGCAAGGUGGAGUCAGUACAGACUAAACUUCUGAAAGAGAAUCUUGACGAUUGGUGUUAUUUCUGAAGCAUAAGGUUUGGAGGCAAGCCUUUUUUCUAGUGAUCUGCUGUCUCAGGUCAUAGGUAGUAUUGUGGAAAUGGA
rnacentral:lncRNA from 1 species